GACGAACGCUGGCGGCGUGCUUAACACAUGCAAGUCGAACGGAAAGGCCCUGCUUUUGUGGGGUGCUCGAGUGGCGAACGGGUGAGUAACACGUGAGUAACCUGCCCUUGACUUUGGGAUAACUUCAGGAAACUGGGGCUAAUACCGGAUAGGAGCUCCUGCGGCAUGGUGGGGGUUGGAAAGUUUCGGCGGUUGGGGAUGGACUCGCGGCUUAUAAGCUUGUUGGUGGGGUAGUGGCUUACCAAGGCUUUGACGGGUAGCCGGCCUGAGAGGGUGACCGGCCACAUUGGGACGGAGAUACGGCCCAGACUCCUACGGGAGGCAGCAGUGGGGAAUAUUGCACAAUGGGCGGAAGCCUGAUGCAGCAACGCCGCGUGCGGGAUGACGGCCUUCGGGUUGUAAACCGCUUUCGCCUGUGACGAAGCGUGAGUGACGGUAAUGGGUAAAGAAGCACCGGCUAACUACGUG
rnacentral:rRNA from 1 species